rnacentral:rRNA from 1 species
GGCCGCGGGAAUUCGAUUCAGGCCUAACACAUGCAAGUCGAGCGGAUGACGGGGGCUUGCUCCUUGAUUCAGCGGCGGACGGGUGAGUAAUGCCUAGGAAUCUGCCUGGUAGUGGGGGACAACGUUUCGAAAGGAACGCUAAUACCGCAUACGUCCUACGGGAGAAAGCAGGGGACCUUCGGGCCUUGCGCUAUCAGAUGAGCCUAGGUCGGAUUAGCUAGUUGGUGGGGUAAUGGCUCACCAAGGCGACGAUCCGUAACUGGUCUGAGAGGAUGAUCAGUCACACUGGAACUGAGACACGAUCCAGACUCCUACGGGAGGCAGCAGUGGGGAAUAUUGGACAAUGGGCGAAAGCCUGAUUCAGCCAGGCCGCGUGUGUGAAGAAGGUCUUCGGAUGUAAAGCAAUGGAAGUUGGGAGGAAGGGCAGUAAGUUAAUACCUGC